rnacentral:rRNA from 1 species
UACGUAGGGGGCAAGCGUUGUCCGGAAUCAUUGGGCGUAAAGAGCGUGUAGGCGGCUCGGUAAGUCCGCUCUGAAAGCCCGGGGCUCAACCCUGGGAGGCGGGCGGAUACUGUCGGGCUAGAGUCCGGAAGAGGCGAGUGGAAUUCCUGGUGUAGCGGUGAAAUGCGCAGAUAGCAGGAGGAACACCAAUGGCGAAGGCAGCUCGCUGGGACGGUACUGACGCUGAGACGCGAAAGCGUGGGGAGCAAACAGG